rnacentral:rRNA from 1 species
AUUGAACGCUGGCGGCAGGCCUAACACAUGCAAGUCGAGCGAGCGGCGGACGGGUGAGUAAUGCCUGGGAAUUGCCCAGUCGGGGGGGAUAACAGUUGGAAACGACUGCUAAUACCGCACACGAUUGGAUUGCCCAGGUGGGAUUAGCGACUUGGUGGGGUAAUGGCUCACCAAGGCGACGAUCCCUAGCUGGUCUGAGAGGAUGAUCAGCCACACUGGGACUGAGACACGGUCCAGACUCCUACGGGAGGCAGCAGUGGGGAAUAUUGCACAAUGGGGGCAACCCUGAUGCAGCCAUGCCGCGUGUGUGAAGAAGGCCUUCGGGUUGUAAAGCACUUUCAGCGAGGAGGCGUUGCUCACAGAAGAAGCACCGGCUAACUCCGUGCCAGCAGCCGCGGUAAUAC